UACGUAGGGUGCGAGCGUUAAUCGGAAUUACUGGGCGUAAAGCGUGCGCAGGCGGUGAUGUAAGACAGAUGUGAAAUCCCAGGGCUCAACCUUGGAACUGCAUUUGUGACUGCAUCGCUGGAGUACGGCAGAGGGGGAUGGAAUUCCGCGUGUAGCAGUGAAAUGCGUAGAUAUGCGGAGGAACACCGAUGGCGAAGGCAAUCCCCUGGGCCUGCACUGACGCUCAUGCACGAAAGCGUGGGGAGCAAACAGG
rnacentral:rRNA from 1 species